AGUCCUGUAGCUCAGUGGUGAGAGCCCUCGCCUCGUAAGCGAGUGGAACUGGGUUCGAUUCCCGGGCAGGGCAA